rnacentral:rRNA from 1 species
GAUGAACGCUGACAGAAUGCUUAACACAUGCAAGUCAACUUGAAUUCGGGUUUUUAACUUAGGUUUGGGUGGCGGACGGGUGAGUAACGCGUAAAGAACUUGCCUCACAGCUAGGGACAACAUUUAGAAAUGAAUGCUAAUACCUAAUAUUAUGAUAAUAGGGCAUCCUAUAAUUAUGAAAGCUAUAUGCGCUGUGAGAGAGCUUUGCGUCCCAUUAGCUAGUUGGAGAGGUAACGGCUCACCAAGGCGAUGAUGGGUAGCCGGCCUGAGAGGGUGAUCGGCCACAAGGGGACUGAGACACGGCCCUUACUCCUACGGGAGGCAGCAGUGGGGAAUAUUGGACAAUGGACCGAGAGUCUGAUCCAGCAAUUCUGUGUGCACGAUGAAGUUUUUCGGAAUGUAAAGUGCUUUCAGUUGGGAAGAAAGAAAUGACGGUACCAACAGAAGAAGUGACGGCUAAAUACGUGCCAGCAGCCGCGGUAAUACGUAUGUCACGAGCGUUAUCCGGAUUUAUUGGGCGUAAAGCGCGUCUAGGUGGUUAUAUAAGUCUGAUGUGAAAAUGCAGGGCUCAACUCUGUAUUGCGUUGGAAACUGUAUAACUAGAGUACUGGAGAGGUAAGCGGAACUACAAGUGUAGAGGUGAAAUUCGUAGAUAUUUGUAGGAAUGCCGAUGGGGAAGCCAGCUUACUGGACAGAUACUGACGCUGAAGCGCGAAAGCGUGGGUAGCAAACAGG